AUUUGAUAGGAAUAAUCACAUAAUAAUCUUAAGGUUCUGUGCUACAUAAUCAUAAUCUUAAAGUUCUAUGCUAGAUGCUGUGAGAGAUUCUAAGACAAACCAGGCAGUGCUUCUGUCUUCAAGCUACUUAUAGUCUGAUAGGGGAGCUAAGACAUGUAUGUAAAUAUAAUAAAAGGAAAAAAAACAGGUAACAUGAAAGUAUUAGUGAUCACCACAAAACAGAUCCUCAAUAAAUAUUUAUUUGCCCACUAAAUGUUUGUUCUCAUCUAAUUAUAAAGUGCUUUGAGAAUUGGCCCAUUUGUAAUUUUUUCAUUCUGUGUCAUGAUUUUUUUAUGUAGCUUUCACCUGCUUUUUUGCCUGGUGGCAAUAUUGAUCUAGGCAGUAUUGAUCUCACUCUUCAUUGGGCUUGUUGACAGCUCAUUUAGUUAACUUCAAGCAUUUGCUGUCUAAACCCAAUCCAUAAGCAGUCUCAUUUUCAAAGACAUAAAUGGGUAUGAGACAUUGAGGGAAGUGAGAAGUGAGGGGCAGGAAUUAGGCAGUAAUGACUUAGACUGAAGCAGAAAAAUAAUAUGUGCACAGAAUUAUUGCAAAUGAUUUUACUACUCACUUUUCUUCAAGAACUUAAGUCGUUCAUUUUCUUCAUAUUUCCGCUUCCUCAUUGGUUGGAUCAAUCAGUGUUUUCCAAAGUACAAAACAUGCCUUGUUGGUGAAUUAUAACAAUUUAGUGGCCACCUCUACCAUUUUUAAAAGAUGUAGAAUAGCAUUGGAAAUAUCACAAUGCAUCACAGAUAGUGAAGAUAAUAUUUUUUGAAACUUUGUAAAUAUUGGAUUAUAAUUUUAUUUAUUUUUGUUUUUAUGUCGUGCUGGAAAUUAAAUCCUGGACCUGUUCAAGCUAAUAAACACAUACUCCACCACUGAGCAACCCAGCCUUCAACUUUUUUUUUUUUUUUUUUGGUACUUGGGAUUGAAACCAGGGGUGCUUAACCACUGAGCCACAUUCCCAGACUUUUUAUUAUUAUUAUUAUUUUUUAUUUUGAGAUACCUUCUUGUUAAGUCGAUUCAGGUCUCACUAAGUUGCCGAGGCUGGGCUUGAACUUGCAAUCCUGUUGCCUCAGCCUCCUGAGCUGCUGGGAUUACAGGUGUGUGCCUUCAUGCCCAGCCCUAUAUUAUAAUUUUAUAUGUAAUCCUAAAUGAUGUUAGAGGAAGAAAAGUAUGACUCUUUUUUUAAAAAUUAUUUUUAAGUUAUAGGUGGACACAAUAUCUUUAUUUUUAUGUAGUGCUGAGGAUUUUUAUGAUGAGUGCCUCAUGCAUACUAGGCGAGCAUGCUAGGUGAGUUCUCUACCUCUGAGCCACAACCCCAGCCCAAGUUUGGCUCUUUGUAAUUACAUCAUAAACAAAACUACUUUGUUUUGAGAAUGAGUUUGAAAAAUGUUGUGAAGAAAAGUGGGAUAGCCAGUCAAAAAUAGGAAUAUUUCCAAAUUCCCUCCUAUGGCUUGUGGCAAUCUACUGGUUAUUCCAGAAAUACUAUUAUGAAUCUUUUUUUUAUAUGUUUUACAAAUACAAAUCUCAUUUAAAUCAAUGCCAUUAUAUUUUCUGGUCUAUAGAAUUUGCAUUUCAUGUACUAGCUGACUUAGAUGAGAGAAAUUGCUUUUCUAAUAUAGGCAAAUAUAUUCAACCUGAAUCCCUGAACAAAUGACCUUAUUAUUCUGCCUCUGUGUAGAAUCUAACCAAGCAUUAGACUAUGGUUAGGACAGAAAUUUGUUCUGCAGGUGCUUAGACAGUUUUAUAGUUCAUACAGAUGUGAGACUUGUUACAGAAAAACUAUUUGUAGGUAUCCAGUCUGUAAUAAGCAAAGAGCUAUCAUUUGACAGACUAUACUUGUCUAAACAUCAAAAGCAGCACCAUCAAAAUUAAAAACUUGAUAAUAUCAAUGUAGCCCUCUUUAAAAACAUGUCACUCACUGAGCAAACAGCUUGAUAGGAUAUUUUUUAAAUGAGUAGAUAAUAUAAAUAUCGUACCUUAAAAAAUAGCUUUAUGAAACAGUUACUAAAAGGAAACUUGUAUUUUUUAUUUUUAAUAUACUAUUCAGAUUUCUUUGUAAUUACAUCAUAAUCAAAACUACUUUGUUCUGGGUGAUGUUCAUACAUAGGAAGGAAUGCUAUAAAGAAGUGAGUAGGAUAGAGAAACUGGUAUAUAUACACGAUGGAAUAUUUCUCAGCAUUAAAAGAAUAAAAUCAUGGCAUUUGCAGAUAAAUGGAUGGAGUUGGAGAAUAUAAUGUUAAGUGAAGUUAGCCAAUACCAAGAAACCAAAUGCCAAAUGUCUGAUUCAUAAUGGGGAUGGGGCAGGGGGAGCAUGGGAGGAAUAGACGAACUUCAGAUAGGGCAAAGGAGAGGGAGGGGAAAGGGAGGGUGGAGUAGGAAAGACGGUGGAAGGAGAUGGACAUCAUUACCCUAAGUACAUGAGUGAAAACACAGUGUGACUAUUUUGUGUUCAACCAGAGACAUGAAAACUUGUGCUCUAUUUGUGUAAUAUGAAUUGAAUUACUUUCUGUCAUAUAUAAAUAAUUAGAAUAGAUAAAAUUUAAAAUUAAAAAAAAAGUGAGUAAAGGGACCAGUAAAACACAAAAAAGGACUGGGGAUGUAGCUCAAUGGUUAAGUACCCCUGGGUUCAAUCACCAACAGCCCCACCGCCAAAAAAAAAGCAAGUAAAGAAUAUUGCUCAUUAUAAUGGGAUUCUACCCACUUAUAAAAGUUUAGUUACCACAAUAAAUGACUAAGGUUGCUUAAGUGGUUAAUUUAUCUUAGUCUUUAUGAGAAGGUAAAGUAAGCCAGAAUUUCUAAUCAAACUAAAAUAAUGUACUUUUUACCUAACUUUGCUUAAUUUUAUUGUAAAGUAAAUUUUAGAAAAGGGUCUGGAAACUCUUUUUUUGUUUGGUUGGUUUUUAUUAGUUCACCUUAAAGUUAAACGUACAUUGGCUUGUAGAGUAUUUCUUGGAAAAACUUAUUAGUGAACUAGUACAGAAUGUGAAUCAUUUGCCUGAAAUACAAGAUUGAUGUUUACAAGGCAGUUGUCCAGAAUCUUCUGGCUGAAUUGCAAAGUAUUUCACUCUUCAUCACUGUAUGUGUUAUUUAAAACAUACACCAUUUUGGUACACAGAAAACCCACUUAAAAUUGAAUUUAAAAACUCUCCUAAGAAUCCUGUGGAACAUUUAUUGUUUUAUAACUUAAAAUUUCUAGCAAAAAUCUCUUUAACACCUUAAAAAUAUUUUUAGAAAGAGCUAAUCCAAAAUAUGUAAUAUGUAUAAAGGAGUAACAUUCUUAAUAUUUUAUAUAUUGCAGUGCUUAGACACAUAAAAAGCAGCAUUAACUUCAUUCUCCCCAAAAUGAAACAAGCUACAAAUUUGAAGCUAAGAAAUGCAGUAAAAAUCAAAAGCUAUUUCUAGGUUAAGUAUGUCUACUUUUAUUUUAAUCUAAAAAAUAGCUGAUUUUUUUAAAAGUGUUCUGUUAUUUUAUGCAUAUAACUUCUCUGACAAACUUGGAAGAAUUUAUAACAUAUUAGAUAUUUUGGUUCUUUCUUGUGUGAUUAAAAUGAUAACACCCAAGCUAAACUUCCAGAUAUUGCCCUUUUUUCUUUGUUCUUUUACAGAAUAGCUCUCUAGUAGACAGACAGCCCUGCCUGUGGUAUUUAGGUGGCAUGUUUGCAUGUGAAUUUUUUCAUUCUCAUCGAGUUCCAAUAUAGGCCACAAAAAGUAGAGUUUGAUUGUCUUAAAUCAUUCCACUGAAAUAUUGAUCCAAACUACCAUAUACUGGAAUAAAAAUAUAAGCAAUUUGGAGACUAAAGCAUUUAGAAACAAAAUAAUUUAUAUGCAAGGAUUUACAAGGGAAUCUAAGGACAGAUUUAUUAAAUAAAAAAUAUGAAAAGUAGACAGGUCUGGUGGCACACUUGGUAAUCUCAGUGACUUGGGAGGCUGACAAGAGGAUUUCAAGUUCAAGGCCAGCCUGAGCAACUUAGCAAGACCCUCAAGCAACUUAGUGACAUGCUGUCUCAAAAUAAAAAAUAAAAGGACUAUGUAGCUUAAUAGUACCCCUUGAUUCAGUCCCUAUCACCAAAACCAGCAAACGUGAAAAUUAUUUAAAGGAAAAAAAUCUAGAAAUUUUUCUUCAUGAUAGAAAAUGAUUUUCUAAUUUUUUCUUUUAUUUUGAUAAUACUUUGUUUACUACAUCUAUGAUUAAGUGUCUCUCCUUUUGUGAAUUAACGACUCUGCCCUUUCCCUUCUAUUUUAUCUAAAUGUAAUCAGAAAAAUUGCCUCUGCUUUAUUCUGCAUUCUGAAUUGAUAAUUAUCAAAUGGAUUUACUAACAAAUGAGUUUCAUGAAGAUACUGGAAAAGAAAAAUGAUUUUCUCAAGUAUCCAAAAAGGUCAUCAUGUAACUUCAGAUAUCAGUGUUGCCAAAAUCGUGGACAUAGUUAUUAGACAAUAACUUGUAGGAAAGACUCCAAGUUCCACCAACUUGGGGAAUGAGAACUGGACAGGGUGACUUUAUGUGGGUGUGUGAUGCUGGGGAUCUAACCCAGUGCUUUGCAUAUGCGAGGCAAGUGCCCUCAAGGUGACUCAUUGCUACUUCAUAUGAGUAUCUCAGGUGGUCCCCAAAGAUGACGUUGGGUUCAGUAAUUUACUAGAGGAUUCACAGAAUUCAAAAAAGCUUUUAUGCACAUGUGUAUGCUAUAUUACAGCAAAAGGAUAUGGAUUUAUAUCAGCAUCUGAAGACAUAGAAAGCAAAGUCUAAGAGACACCAGGCACAAGCUUCCAGUUGUCCUUUUCUAAUGAAGUCAUGUAGACAGCACUUUUCUUUCUCCCAGCAAUGUGUGAUCACAUUCUCCUAGAAUUGCCAACCAGGGAAGCUUGGUGUCCAGAUGUUUUUCCUGAGGGUUAAUCAUGUAGACAAGGCUGAUAGCCCAUCUGGCUGACUUUCAGUCUCCAGCCCCUACAGAGGUCAACCUGAAGCUACAUGGCCCAAGUCUCCCACCAUAAAUCACAUUGUUGGCUAAUACUGUCUGGCAUGGCCUAAAGCUCUAGGUAAACAAAAACACUCCUAUCAGGCAGGAUAUUCCAAGGAGUUUACCUUCCAGGAGGAGCUGGGCAAAGACCAAACCUUUUCUUGGAAUAUGAAGAUUUUAUAGUCAAUAUCUGUCCUAUAUCUCUUAGUGUUCAUUACUGUUGUUGCUAUUUGUUUUGUGACUUUCUUGAACUAAUUCUACAAAACCUAUUUUGUUGUUGUUGGCGUUGAAAGUCUUUGAUCAGUAGUUUGGUGGUCAACUAAUAAUGGGGUGGAAAUUUACCCAAGUAUCUUACAAGUAAUAAAAGUCCCAGCUUUUGCCAAGGGGAGGAAAAAAAAAAAAAAAACUGCUUUUUUGAUCCUUUACUGUAGUAUUGUUUUCUUCCUCUUCCAGUGACACCAUACAGAGAGCAUUUCAUUCUCCCAACAACAUGUGUGACAGCAUUCUCAAAGUAUUGUCAACCAGGGAAGCUCCCCCAAACUCCGGUGUCCAGAUUUUUUAUUAAGGGUCAGUCAUAUAGGCAUGACUGAUAGCUCAUGUGACUGACCUUCAGACUCCAGUGCCUCUCUCUUUCUUCUCUCUCUCCUCCCCGUUUUCUUUCCUUCAUCUUCAUCCUCUUAUUUUCCUUCUCUUCCUUCUUUCUCCCUUUCUUUCUCUGUCUCUUUCUUUUCUUCCUUCCAGUAUUGGGUAUUGGAUCCAGAGGUACUGAGUCCUUUUUAAUUUUUUAUUUUUAGACAGGGUCUCAAAGCUGACCUCAAAUUUGAGAUCCUCCCAAGUAGCUGGGAUUAGCAGGCAUAGGCCUCCUCUCCUGGUAGAACUAUUACUUUUUUUUUUUUUGGUACCAGGGAUUGAACCCCAUGAGUGCUUAAUCACUGAGCCACAUCCCCAGCUCUUUUUAUAUUUUUUGAGACAGGAUCUCAACAACUUGCUUUUGGCCUUGCUAAAAUUGCCGAGGCUGUCCUUGAACUUGUGAUUCUCCUGUCUUAGCCUCUCAAAUCACUGGGAUUACAGGCUUGUAUCACCACACCAGCUCAGAGAGAUUACCUUUGGAAGAAUGUUUCAUUGCACUUUAGAGGGCAGAAUUAUUUAUUUUGAAAGAACACAAUCCUUUUUUUUAAGGAUUAGUCAAAAUUUAUGUAACUGAAAGGGAAAAUAUAUAUGAACAGAGCCAGCAUUUGAAAUUUUUCUGGUUCUCUUAAUUUAUCCCAUAAAAUAUUUUGGGAUUUUCACCUGUUCCCUUUAAAAAGAAUUUAUUUUUAAUAGUUAUUAUAUCAAUCUUGAUACAUGGACAUGAGUAUGUUUAUCAAACCUGAAAGUUACCCAAUUGUUUAAGAUAUUUUAUUUACAUACUCUUAACACAUUAAACUCUUCACUGAUUUGCAAGUAAUUUUCAUAUUGAAGACUUAAGAAGAAUACCUUUUAUAGUAGUUUUGGGUAAUAAAAUAUCUGGAGUAGGGUUGGGUUGUGGUUCAGUGAUAAAGUGCUUGCCUAGCAUGCACGAGGCACUGGGUUCGAUUCUCAAUACCAUAUAAAUGUAAAAUAAAGAUAUUGUGUCCACCUAAAACUAAAAAAAUAAAUAUUUUUAAAAAUCUGGAGUAUAUCAAAUAUUUCUAAUUGUUUUUAGAGGUACUCCUUUGAGAGAAGUAAAUCUUUGUGAAUGUCUAGCAGCUGUUGGGGAAACUCCAAAGGCAGUUUAAAUAUAAAAAUCAUUGAGUGUUAUUCCAAAGGUAGGGGAAGAACUUGGGAAGGGCAAUAUCAGAAAAAGCAAUACAAGGAGAAAAAUAAUAACUAAAAAAAUAAUGCUUACUUAAGAACUUUUUAAAGGAUGAAGCACUUAAAAAACAGUUCAAGUUUCUGACAAACACAUUAGCAGGCUCUCGAGUAUUUUGUUUCUGUUCUGCUAUGUGGGCACUACUUUAACUGCUUGUUAUUCAGAGAAAACAAUAAUUUGUGGAUUUAACAGUAAAAAUCCAAAUCUAGUUUUAUUCUUUUAGAAUGCUACCCAUAUUUCAUAGAAUAAAAUUCAUAAGUCUUUGUCUUAUGAAAACAAAUUUAUGUACCUCCAGACAACUUUAUAAAAUCAGUUAAUGUAUUUUAUAAUAAACCAAGACCACCUACUUCUAUGGUACACCCUCAUAUUUAUCUUUUAAUAUUUUCUUUCAUAUUCUGGCACAUCCAGACAAAAUUAAAUUUUUACUUUUCAAUGACAAAAAAAAUGCAUUAUUUUUUACAAACAAAAAUUCAUUAUGUUGUAUGCACAUCCCAUUGAAAGAUGCACAAAAAUUUCUUCACAUUUCUUAAUAAAAAAGAAAAAGAUGUAUACCAAUUACCACAUGUGUUUAUAUAUCCUUUCUACCUGUUCAUUGAUGGUCACUUAUAAUGUAUGAAAACCCAAACAAGGGUAUAUUUAAUCAAUAUUGGAUGAGGGUUUUUUUAAUUCUCUGAAAAUAUAAUUUUUACUUUGUAGUUAAUUGUCAAAUAUUAUUUAAUGAUCAACUUAAUUCUAAUUUAUAAAUUAGGACAGUUUCUAUGGCCAGGUGCAGUAGUGCAUGACUGUAAUUCCAGAAACUCUGGAGGCUGAGGCAGGAGGUUCACAAGGUUGAGCCAGCCUGGACAGUUGUUUGUUACCCUGUCUCAAAAUAAAGAAUUUUAAAAAGGACUGGGCUUAAUCCUCGGUACUGAAGGGGGAGAAAAAAAGAAAGCAUGAAAAAUAAAAGAACUUUAGGCUCACUUUAGAAUGGGUACACAAACCAAGCAAAAACUUUGAAGUUUCUCUGAAAUUACAUAAAAAAAAUAUUUCAGAUAUAUAGAUUGAUUAAUCAACAUUUUCCUGAAGGAGAAAGUCUACUUUAGACAGUGACAGAUAUAUCAUUGAACAUAAACUAUUAUAAAAAAGAAAUUAUGCCUUUCAUUUUGAAAAGGAAAGUUCUUCAAAGCACAGAAGCACCAACCUUAAUUUGUAACAUUAGCCUCAGAUAGUUGAAAUGUAAUCAGAAUACAAAAAGCAUGAGUUAUUGGUUGGUGUUAGCAGCCCUAGAUCUCCACGUGGACACAAAAUUCUCAUUUUUCAUUUAUCUGGACUCAGUGGCAUACAAACAUGAAGAAUGACAGGCUUCCUCAGGCUCAGAAAACAGUAAAUCAGAGAUUGAGAGCAGCUUCCCCACCUGCUGGUGAGGUCCAUCAGUUCAACUAAACCAGUGGCUUAAGACCUUUGACAAAGUUAUGAUGUAUCUCAGAUAACAGGAGAUGGCAGAGCCUUCAAAGGGAACAAAGGACGAUCAGAUAUCUGGCAUUUGUUACCUCGUAGACCAGAGAGAGAAUAUAUUCUCAACAGUUGCCACCAAAGGAGAAAUAAGUAGUUGUGUACAAAUCAGAACCAGUGUGAAAACAAGAUGUGGCCAAGAAACAAAGAACCAGAAAAGGGAAUAGAAUCAACUAAAUUGAGAGCCUAUUGCCACAUGGAAUCCUCCCUAUGGGAGGAAAAGGGUGUACCUCAAACAACCCAUCACUUGCUCUUCAAAGACUAUGUGAUUGAUUUGGCUGUAGUUGAUGAAUCACUCUGGUGAAUAAACACAUAAAAUCUUGGUGGAAUCUAGAAUUAUUCAAGAAAUAUUCAAAGCACUUGGAAACAUUUAUUUUCAAGGAAAAUUUGUCACCAACUCCAAGUUUGUUUUGUUGUUGUUUUGUUUUAUGAUACUUGAGCUUGAACUCGGGGGCUCUACCACUCAGCUACAUCCGCAGUCCUUUUUAUUUUUUAUUCUGAGACCGUCUCACUAAAUUGCCCAGGCUGGUCUUGAACUUGUAAUACUUCUGCCUCAGCCUCUGAGUAACUAGAAUUACAGGUUUUUGAUUUUGUUUUGGUAUCAGGGAUUGAACCUAGGAGUGCUUAACCACUAAGCCACAUCCCAGCCCCUUUUUUUAUUUUGAGACAGAGUUUUGCUAAAUUCCUUAGGGCUUCACUAAAUUGCUGAGGCUGGCCUAGAACUGACAACCUCGAAUCCUCAGUCUCCUGAGUCGCUGGGAUUAGAGGCAUGUGCCACCAUGCCUGGCAGUUCCAAGUUUUAAAAGGACUAGCUCAUCAAAAAAUAAACAACACACACAAACCGGUAACAUUACUAUGUUUGCAGUUGUCUGUCUGUGGAAGUGGUAGAAAAGACAGUUUUCUCACCUGCCUUCCUAGUCAUCACUAGCAUAGCUUCAUCUAUCAGCAUUGCAAAAGUUGGUAAUAAAAAUGCUUUAAUUAAGGAGUCAGUAACUGAUAAGUUUACGAAAUUUAAGGCCUCUUUCAUUUGGGGAAAAUGAAUGACGGUGAUCCUGUUUUUGUUAGCUGCUCUUCUCAGGGUACAAGAUGUUUUAUUUUCUAACUAUGAUGUACGUAUUGAUAAGGGGCAGAGUGUCAUCUUCUUUAGUCCUUAUGGUUACCCAAUCCUUCCAUGAACAAAUGCUGAGGAGAUUUAUUAUUAUUUGAAGUAAAAGACAUAAUCAUAUGGUAUGGGGACGCCAAAGAUUUGGAAAAUAGGAAUAUACAUAUAUUUUCAUUUGAAGGAAACUGUCAUAUCUUUAUGGAUAAGACAAUAGGCAACUUGUAAUUCCUAGGAUUAUUAUAAUACUAAUGAUUAACACUAGGUAUGGUGGUGUACGCCUGUAAUUCCAGCAAUUUAGGAGGCUGAGGCAGGAGUAUUGAAAGCCAAACUAUGCAAUUUAGUGAGAGCCUAUCUCUAUCAAAAAGGGCUGGGGAUGUAGCUUGGUAGCAGUGGUUGUACCCAGUAGUAGAGCCUUUCUGGGUUUGAACUUCAGUAUUGCCAUGCCCUGUAGGUUAGAGAAGAAAUCCAAGUGGAAAUUAUAAACUAUUUAAGAAAUAAUGACAUACAACAAUCCACACUUGUUUGAGGUAGCAAAAACAAUGCUUUGAGGGAAAUUUAUAGUGCUAAAUGCAUAAAACUGUAGGAGGAUUGAAACUAUGGAUCUAAGCUUCCAUCUUGACAGCUGGAAAAAGAAGAGCAAAUUAAGUUCUAGCUAUUAAAAGCAAUGACCAUAACUGAUGUAAGCAGAAAUCACAGAGAAAACUUAUCUAAAUAACGGAAAACUCAAUAAAAGUAAAUAUUGGUUCUUUGAGAAGAUUAAUGAAAUCAGUAAAUUUCUAAUAAGACUAAUCAAGAUAAAAGAGCAAGUAUAGAAAUUUCUAAUAGCAGGAAUAUAAAAGUAGACAUUGCUAUACAUUUUAUAAACAUUAAAAAGAUAAGAGGCUUAUAAGGACAACAUCAAGAAAGGGGAAAUAUGCCCCAUCUUUAUCAUAUAUCUGAUCAAAGACAUGUACCUACAACAUAUAAAGAAUUCUCACAACUUUUCAAUAAAAAAGAACAAAAUUUAAAAGCUAGUAAAGGAUCUGAAUAGACAUUUUUCUAAAGAAGACAUAAAAAUGACUAAUAAGUACAGGAAAAGAUGUUUGACAUCAUUAGCCAUUGGGAAAUGCAAACCAAAACCACAAUGACAUAUCACUUCACACCAAUUAAAAUGGUUUAAAUUUAAAAUUUUAAAAAAGACAGUAACAUCUCCCCAUCAAAAUACUAAUGACAUUUUUUCACAGAACUAGGAUUAAAACAAUCCUAAAAUUCAUUUAGAAGAAUGAAGCACACAGAAUAGCCAAAGCAAUUCUAAGCCAAAAAAGCGAUGCUGGAGGCAUCACAAUACCUGACUUCAAAUUAUACUACAGAGCGAUAGCAACAAAAACUACAUGAUACUGGCAUAAAAGCAGACAGACACAUAAACCAUUAGAAUAGAAGACAAACAUCUGUGGUCAUCUGAUCCUUGACAGGUGUGCCAAAAACAUACAUUGGGGACAGCCUUUUUAACAAUGGUGCUGGGAAAACUGGUUAUCCACAUGUAGAAAAGUGAAACUAGAAGCUUAUCUCUCACCUGCAUAAAACUUAAAAUGGAUCAAAGACUUAGGAAUUAGACUAGAAACCUAUGCAACUCCCAAAAGAAAAUGCAGGAUCAACACUCCAGCAUAUAGACAUUAAACAAUGACUUUCUCAAUAGGACCCCUAAAGCUCAGGAAAUAAUGCUAAAAGUUAAUCAAUGGGAUGGCAAAGGAAACAAUUUGGAGUGUGCAGAACCUACAGAAUCAGAAAAUCUUUGCUAACUGCUCUUCUGACAGGAUUAAUAUCUAGAAUAUAUGAAAAUCUCAAAAGAACUUUACAGCAAAAAGUAAAAUAACUAAAUUAAUAAAUGGGCAAAGGAGUUUUUUUUGUUUUUUGUUUUGUACCAGAGAUUGAACCUAGGGGCACUUAACUGCUGAGCCACAACCCCAGCCACUGUUCCCUGCUCCCUGUAUUUUUUUUUUUUUUUUGAGACAGGAUCUCUGGGUAAAGGAAUUAAACAGACACUUCUCAAAAGAAGAAAUAUGAAUGUCCAACAAACAUGAAAAAAUGUUCAACAUCAUUAGUAAUUAGGGAAAAGCAAAUCGAAACAACAGAGAUUUCAUCUCACACCAUUCAGAAUGGCAGUCAUCAAAAACACAAAUAAUAAAUGCUGGAGAGGAUAUGGAGAAAAAGGAACACUUUUACAUUCUUACAUUGCAGAUUAGUAUAAUCAUUAUAGAAGUCAGCACAGAGGAUCCUCAAAAGAUUAGGCACAGAACCACCAGAAGACUCAGUGAUACCACUCCCAGGUAUUUUUCCUAACGAAAUUCGGGUCAUCAUACUACAGUGAUAUAUGCAUACCCAUGUUUAUAGCAGCACAAUUUACAAUAGCCAAACUAUGGAACCAGCUUAGGUGAGCAUCAGUGGAUGAAUGGAUAAAGUAAAUGUGCUACAUAUAUGCAAUGGAAUUUUAUUCAGCCAUAAAGAAAAAUAAAAGUAACCAGGCACAGUUAGUUGCACAUGCCUGUAAUCCCACUGGCUUGGGAGGCUGGAGGAUCAUAAGUUCAAAGUCAGCCUCAGCAACUUAGUGAGGCCCUAAGCAACUUAGCAAGACCCUGUCUCAAAAUAAAAUAUAAAAAAGGCUGGGGAUGUGGCUCAGUGAUUAAGUGCCCCUGGUUCACCCUCCAGUACCCCCAUCCCCAAAAAAGAAAAGAAAUUGUGUCAUUUGCAGGAAAAUAAAUGAAACUGAAGACCAUUACAUUAAGUGAAAUAAGUCAAAUUCAGAAGAUCAAAUGUUUUUUUGUUUUCUCUCAUAGCAACUAGAGAGGAAAAAGGAAAAGAAAGGUGGGGGCAGAUCUCAUGAACGUCAAAGGGAGAUCAGUAGAGGAAAUGGAGGUGGGAAGGGAGGAAGAAGUGCUGGGGAGUGAUAGUGGUCAAAUUUUAUUAUUGUGUGCAUGUACAAAUAUGUAAUGUAUCAAUAAAAAAUCUGGAAAAUAAGACUAACAUGUAUUGCCAAGGCUGUGGAGAAAUUAGAAUACUCCAACAUUGCUGAUGAGAAUGUAAAUGAGUGCAGCCACUUUGGAAAAUGGCUGGAAGUGUCUCAGUAGGUCAGACAGUUAUCAUUUGACCCAGCAAUCCUACUCCUGCAUGUAUACUCAAGGAAAAUGAAAACAUAUGUACAGGAAAACUUGUACCUGAAAAUUCAUUACAGCAUUAUUCACAAUGGCCCCCAAAUGGAAACAACCCAGAUGUCCACCAACCAAUGAGUAAAUAAACGAAAUAUUGUGUAGUCAAGUUACAAUGCAAUGUUAUUCAGUCAUUAAAAAGGAAUGAAGUGGGGCUGUGUUUGUGGCUCAGUGGUAGAGCGCUUGCCUAGCAUGUGUGAAGCACUGGGUUUGAUGCUCAGCACUGCAUAUAAAUAAAAGUUCAUUGACAACAAUAAAAAAAUAUUUUUAAAAGAAUGAAAUAUUGAUACAUGCUAAAACAUGGGCAAAUCUUAAAAACAUUAUGCUAAAUUAAAGAUGGUCAUGAAAGACCACAUACUGUACAGUUCCAUUUAUAUGAAAUGUCUAGAAUGGGCAAAUCUUUGGAGACAAAGUAAGAUUAUUGGAUGCUGUGUACUGAGUAGGAGUGGCUUAGAGAAAAACAGGGAGUGAUUGUUAAUUGGAAUGGACUCUUUUGGGGAGAGAGAGUGAUGAGAUGUUCUAAAAUUGAUUGUGGUGAUUGAUGGCUGUAUGAAUCCAUGUAUACACUAAAAACCAUUGAUUAUACAUUUUAUGUGGGUUAACUGUAUUGUGUGUUAACUAUAUCUCAAUUAAGCUGUUACAAAUAUGAGACUGUAUUAAACAACCUUAUACCCCCCAAAUUUGUCUACUUAGAUAUUUUAUAUAUGAAUGUUUAUCACAGGGUGGCCAGCACCCUGCCAGGGUAGAUUCCGGUUCAGAAGGUUGUGAGCCACCUGAGAAAAAGAACAUCUGAAAUGUUUAGUAAGGGAUAUUACUCAGCAUUAAAAGAGAAUAAAA
rnacentral:lncRNA from 1 species